rfam:Postia placenta Mad-698-R POSPLscaffold_150_Cont5930, whole genome shotgun sequence.
GCCCGCCUAGCUCAAUCGGAUAGAGCGUCAGACUCUUAUACGAUCAAAGUCGUUAGGCCGGAAUCUGAAGGCUGCGAGUUCGACCCUCGCGGUGGGCU